rnacentral:rRNA from 1 species
AGCGAACGCUGGCGGCGUGCUUAACACAUGCAAGUCGAGCGCAGGCAUUUUAGGGGUAACCCUGAAGUGUGCUGAGCGGCGGACGAGUGAGUAAUACGUGGAUAACCUACCUUUAUGCCUGGGAUAACUCCGGGAAACUGGAGCUAAUACCGGAUAAGACCACGGUUUCUAUGGAUGCUGAGGUAAAAGGCGGCUGGGUAACUAGCUGUCGCGUAUAGAUGGGUCCACGUCCCACCAGGUAGUUGGCGAGGUAACGGCUCACCAAGCCUAAGACGGGUAGCUGGCCUUAGCGGGUGGUCAGCCACACGGGGACUGAGACACGGCCCCGACUCCUACGGGAGGCAGCAGUGGGGAAUAUUGGGCAAUGGGCGAAAGCCUGACCCAGCGACGCCGCGUGGGGGAUGAAGGCCUUCGGGUCGUAAACCCUUGUCAGGGGGGACGAUGGGUAUGUGAGCUAAUACCUCAUAUACUUGACGGUACCUCCAAAGGAAGCCCCGGCUAACUCCGUGCCAGCAGCCGCGGUAAUACGGAGGGGGCAAGCGUUGCUCGGAAUUACUGGGCGUAAAGGGUCCGUAGGCGGCUCCGUAAGUUAGAUGUGAAAGUUCAGGGCUCAACCCUGAAAUUGCAUCUAAAACUGCGGAGCUAGAGUCCAGAAGAGGUCGGCGGAAUUCCCGGGUGUAGCGGUGAAAUGCGUAGAUAUCGGGGAGGAACACCAGUGGCGAAGGCGGCCGACUAGUCUGGUACUGACGCUGA